UUGUGCCAUUGCACUCCAGCCUGGGCAACAAGAGCGAUACUCCAUUUCAAAAUAAUAAUAAUGAUGAUAAUAAUAAUUAUUAUAAUAAGGAGAAACUUACUUGGCAAAUUCAGAGAUGGGAAAUCUUGAAAGAGUCUCUCAAUUGGAAAUGAAGGAAAUUGGGCAGCAUUUUCUUCUUCAUUUCUCACCUUCUCCUCUAGGUACCAGACAGACUCCUGGGAAGUCAGGGAAGUCAGGAGAAAAAGUUUCAGUCUCGCCUAGGACAGAUAGGACAGAAAGCUCAUGUUGACAAGCCAGAGCUGAGGGGGCUGCCACCAGUUAAGAUCUUCUCAAGCACAAGCAUUCCAGUACUAUUAGCCCUCCCUUGGACACAAAGAGUAGUGGCCAGACUGGGGUCAUGCUCAACGUGGGGUAGCAGAGAUGUCUGUGGUGCCCAGAAGUAGAGAAACAGUUCCAGGCUCCAAGCAGAGUGUUUUGAAAAAGACUUUUUUUGUGAAGUAUCAUGAAGCCCUCUCUCAGCUGCAAAGGACUCUUUAUCAGUGACAGCAGUGACUGUAGUGAUGGGUGCAGGGGACAGACCAUUCAACCCAGCUGAAAGGUAUCCUAGGGAACCAGUGAGGAGCCCUGGGAUGUUCUGACACCUGCAGUGGGCACUCCUGUGUGUGCAACUCAGAAAUGCAAGAGAUUUAAUAUCUUUCUGGGCAGCCCGUGACCAGUGGUGAAGGCAACCAAUGGAUGAACCCUAUCCCCUUUCUUUCCUGGAUGGAUGAUUCUGAGAAGUGUCUCAUAAGGUCCUGCCUUUCCCUGCUUUGCUAAACUACUUCCCUGUUCUGCAUUCCUGCUCCCUCAGGUUCCAUUCUCAAAUAAGUCAUCACCAUGUGAGCCUUUGUCUCAGGCUCUGCUUUUGAGGAACCCAGGCUAAAAUAGGAAGCAUCAAUAAAUGUUAGUUUUUAUGAACAUUAUUGCUGAUCUUGUAAAUGCCCCUCAUCUAGAAUAUUGCUGCAGGAAAUUCAAUCACCUACCAGCUGUUUCUAGGGCUUCCUAGAAAUCCUUAUUCCAUCCUUGCAGGUGCACAGCUUUUGUUGCUUCUGCCCUUCCUCUCGCCCUCUCUAUAUCCCUUCCCUAUGCUACUCCGGCCUUCCUGGUCUGCUUCUCCUAGAGCUAUGAAUACGCAGGCUUCCCCCAACCUACCCCUUUCUUUUCCCAGGCAUGCUUAGUCCAGCGCUUCGUGGGCAACAGAGAUGCAUAUGGAAAACCCAUGGGGACACGCUUGCUUCACCAAAUAAGGGUAUUUCCCUUUUCCUUGGAAAAAAGAAUGAACAAAUGAUGGUUGUUAAGUAAACAUUACUAAAAUCUGUGCCCUUUCCCAGAAGUAUAUCGUGCAUAUUUAUUUUAAUAAGGCAAGAGAACAAAUAACAGUUUCUAGAGGCAAGGGAAACAGCUGAUUUACUGUCCUCCUUUUAGAACAUAGCUCAAGAGACUGGGUUUUGUUUUUGUUUUUGCAUAAGUAAUCUUAGAUCCAUCCUCUAUAUUUCUACUGCUCCCCCUGGGCCUUUGUUAUGACUUCAUCAUUUCCUGACUGGCUGACUGGUACUGUGUUAUAACCACCCUUUCCCUCCACACUUCCAUCAGAGUUGCCCUCUUAUAACUCACAUGUGAUUAUUGCACUCUACUGCUUAGAACCUGUCAAUGGGUCCCACUGUCCAGAUUACAGUGUCUAUAUUUCCCUUAUAAUCAGCCCUGCCUAUUUCUCAGAGUAUCUUUCUCCACUAAUUUUUCCUCACAGUGCACCUAAGCCAGCAGUUCUCAGCUUCAACAUCACCUGCCAACUUUUUAGAAAAUCAGAUUUGUGGGCCCACUUCAGACCUAUUCAAUAUGAAACUCUGGGGAUGAGGCCCAGUAAUCUGUGCUUUAAUAAACUCUCCAAGUGACUUUGAUGCAUGCUAAAUUUGAGAGCCACUCACCAAAGUGAAGCAGGUGCAGUGUAUGCAGUUUGAAUUGCCCUUAAUCCCCUAAUGCACCUAGAAUUUCCUACUCAUCCUUCAAAAGUCAUCACCUCUUUCAUGAAGCCUUCUCUGCCUUCAUCUAACAGUGUUUACCAUUCCCUGCUUGGUAUCUCCAGGACACUUCCAUUGUGAAGUGUAAAACACUGUUUUGCAAUUCUUGCAAACUUACUUGUCCAUCUCCCUGACUAGACUAUGAGAUGCUCAUGGGAAAUACUCUCUAAAAGCUUGUUUUAACUUUCUCUUUCCUGUUGGUCUCUCUCUGUCUUCAUGCACACAUGUAUACGGCUUCCAUAAAGAAGACUGCAGAAUAGAAUAGGGAACCACUGUUUAAAGUUCAUUGCCCUUUCCACCAAUUGGGAUCUCAUUCUGGCUGCCUUUUUUCCCUUUAUAUCUUAUUCAAUAAGCUUUUAUUUAAUUUUAACUUUUUUGUUAGUUUUUAAACUUUAAACUUUUUUAUUUCUAAUUUUUAUGGGUACAUAGUAGAUGUAUAUACUUAUGGGGUACAUGAGCUAGUUUGAUACGGGCACAAAAUGUGUAAUAAUCACACCAGGGUAAAUGAAGUAUUCAUUAUGUCAAGAAUUUAUUUCUUUGUGUUACAAACAAUCCAGUUAUAUGCUUAGUUAUUUUAAAAUGUACAAUAAAUUAUUGUUGAUUGUAGUCAUCCUGUUGUGCUGUGAAAUACUAGAUCUUAUUCAUUCUAUCUAACUACAUUUUUGUACCCAUUAACCAUCCUCACUGUCCCCCUACCCUCUACCAGCUACCCUCCCAGCCUCUGGUAACCAUCAUUCUGCUCUCUACCUCCAUGAAUUCAACUGUUUUAAUUUUUAGCUCCCACAAAUGAGUGAGAACAUGCGAAGUUUGUCUUUCUGUCCUGGCUGCCUCUUUUUGUCUGUCAUCACAAGGUGUGUAACUGACUUUGCCCCAGGUAUUAAGAAACAGAUACAGUCACCUCUCAAAAAAGGGGGCCAGUUAUCAGAAACAGGUCAGUUCCUGGCACUAUCGAUGAGUAAUUCUGUUUGCUUUAUGACCCUGACUCUCCUUUAAAAAUGAAUCAGUUGAAGCUGUAGUUGAUUAUGCUUUCUUUUCGGUCUUAGACCUACAAAGACUUUUUACUGACUUAGUAAAUAAAAGCUAAGCCACUUAAAGAAACCUUGAAGUUGUCUGUUUAGGGGCAUUAGUCUGUGUUAUCAUCUAGGGACAAACCUGUGACUCUCUUCUCUCUGUGUUAUAAGAGUUGGUUUUGGGCUAGAGAGAACUCCGUUGUGAACUCAGAAGACGAGGUGGGGGUCCCGGGAGAGUCAGGGCAGGUAAGGGAGAGACGACCCUGAUUUUAUCCUCCUCUAAUAGUGACUCCAUAGCUAUACAGAUAUUGGAUAGUGCCCUUCAGUGUUGAUAACUGGGAGGGAGAUUUGCUGACUCUAUCUGGAAAGAGAGCAGUUGGGAAGAUGUCCUGAUUGGCUAGUAGGCCAAGUUCUAUAAUAUUUCCUUUAUCUAGAUAUCCCCAGUGGCUAGGACAGUGCCUACUAUGCCGUCAAUUCUAAAUACAUUGUGGUUGAGCUUUUACAAUUAUAAAUUCCAGGGUUUGUGGGCACUAUACUACAUAAAAUCAUUUACCUUUUUCUUGCAGCUUGAAUUGGGCCAUACACUUUUUUGAAAAGUCUUAAUUUAAAAAGAUAGAAGCAAGCAGCCCACAGCUGCAUUGGUUUUUCUCUAGGUUAGAAGCUUUCCUAUAAACCAUUUGAUGAAGUAGCAGAUGGCAAAGUUAGAACCUUUGUAGCUCUAAGACUUAAUAGAAGCCAUGAUCAACUAUGGAUUGUCUUGUAACCCAAAUUGAUGCUUUUGUUGCACUCUGAUGGACUUGUCACUUGUUCUGCCUCUUGAUUAAUUGUGACAAAAAUCAUUCUAAUUAUACAUAUUGAACAAUAAAUCUUUGGUCAAUAUCCUCUAGAUAUAAUUUGUGUAACCGAAUACCCUCUUUUGAGUGUUGCUUUCAGAGCUAAAGCGGGAGGGAAGAGAUGGCUCUGACAAAUUCAGGGCAUUUUUGAAUAAGCAUGAAUUGGAUUAUAAUAGGCUGCGAUGAGAGAGCUAGAAUAUGGUGGAAUACUUUAUAUUCAGCAGAGCUCAUCUGGGUCCUGGCAAUCAGAAAUUCUGGGACACAGAUUUUCUUCACUAAAACUCUUAAUUUAUGCCCAUAAUAGGCUGAUUAAGGAUGUGGCAGUGGAGUGAUAUGAUUAUCAGCUCAGCUUCUUCAGACCGAAGUUAUAGAUCCCAUGAGCCACAUAUUCUGUUUCUGUGUGAUGAUGCCUGGAUGUGGGCCCUGUGUAUGUACAGUGAGUGAAUGGAUGCCUCUCCGGUGGAAGGAUGCUGCAAUUAACGGCCUGGACAGAGGAUGGGGACAUGAAUAAUGGUAGAGUCCAGCAUUAGCACAACACUCCAUUCAUCACUGCUGAAGGGCAAAUGCAUAACCCUCAAAAUGAUCCUGGAAAGAGGAAAAGGGAGAGGAAUUGCAAGUUCCAUGGAACAGUGAUUUACCAUGCAGCAGAGGAUGUGAGCAUCUCCGAAAUAGAAGGGUCCACAUAUUUUGAACUUUAACAUAUAUAAUGAUACUUAUAAUGUGACUGUUACGGGCAGCUGAUUUUUCAUACAAUUGACAUGAGACCCAUCUGAUGAAGUGGCACUCCCAAAGAAAAGAUAAAGUCAAAUCUGGCUGGCCAGUUACAACUUCAGAGCUCUUUCAUAACUUUCUGAGGUUGUAGAUAAAUUGGACCUUCGCAGAAGACCGUGGCUGUGGACAAGUAAACAAUUCCUAUCAUACAUUUCUCACUGGAGGGAAAGUUAAAAGUUAGAUUCAAUAAAAGUGACCGCCAUGACUUAACUAAACCAUCCAGCAUCUCCUUGCCGACAGCCUGCCUUAUAUUUACAUGAAAGGAUUUCCUGCCAGUUUAUCAUCUUAGUCUUAAUACCUAGGCCUUUAUCCCCUCAUCUCUAUCCUACCAAUUGCCUGUCUUUUCAUUUUGCACAGAUGGAAUGGGCAAUUGAAGAAGUAAGGCAUCAUUACCUUCUUCUUUUUAAAGAUGUAGGGAGUGAGCACCAGGUUCUGUUCUCAGCAAACCUCUUUAAUCCUAGUGGGGUUGGUUAUAGCAACUUCAAGCCUACCUGACUCCAGUUUUCUCUUCCAAAUCAAUCUUUAAUCCUCAAAAAGGUUGAUUUGAUUGCACAGUCCUUGCUUACUGUAUUUCAAUGGUUCCCUAGGGUUUUCAUAUUAUAGCUGGAGUUCCUUAGCUUGGGAAAAAAAAUUCAUUUUAAGCCCCUUGACUCUCCUUUAUUUUUGUAUUUAACUUUUUAAAAUAAAAAAAUCUGAAAUAUCCUAACAUGUAGAAAUUUGCAGAAGAUCAUUCAUCUUUCUAAAAGCUAGCUUCCUCUAGUCAUCAUUUCCCACUCUAUGCACCAGCCAUGACUUGAGCCCCUAAAAUUUCUCUUGCUAUUUAACACUUCCAUGAUUGUGUCAAUCCUG
rnacentral:lncRNA from 10 species